rnacentral:rRNA from 1 species
UACGUAGGGGGCAAGCGUUGUUCGGAUUUAUUGGGCGUAAAGAGCGUGUAGGCGGCCAUACAGGUCAGCUGUGAAAACUCGAGGCUCAACCUCGAGACGUCGGUUGAAACCGUAUGGCUAGAGUCCGGAAGAGGAGAGUGGAAUUCCCGGUGUAGCGGUGAAAUGCGCAGAUAUCGGGAAGAACACCCGUGGCGAAGGCGGCUCUCUGGGACGGUACUGACGCUGAGACGCGAAAGCGUGGGGAGCGAACAGG